UUAAUUCAUUCCGAACGUGUUCAUUCUUCGAUUCAUUUAGUGUUGUGAUCAAUUGUAAAGAUGGCGUCAAGUGAAAAUAAACAUCAAGAUUUGGUGGACUUCCCAUUUUUUGAUUGAUUGAAAGAUCAUCGGGCCAUUUUUCUGAGUCGCAUCUUUGCUAGCAAUGCGGGUCAGAUUGGUACGUGGUAUUGGAAGAGCUGGCGCAGGUCAACUAUGGUUAUCCCGUUUUUUUUUUAAUUUAAGCAAACGUUGGCUGUAAUUGUGUGCCGAAGGAUUUCCGAGAAUAUCGAGCUGAAAACAUACAACAAAACCAGACUUGUUACCAGAUUUUCCGAUACUCCAGCAUUGUGUGAAAUAUCGAUGGUUCAAUAAAUAAAAGUAAGAAUUAA